rnacentral:rRNA from 1 species
UACGGGGGGGGCAAGCGUUGUUCGGAAUUACUGGGCGUAAAGGGUUCGUCGGCGGUCCGCUAAGUUGGAUGUGAAAACUCUGGGCUUAACCCAGAGCCUGCAUUCAAAACUGACGGGCUAGAGUUCUGGAGGGGGUAGCGGAAUUCCUGGUGUAGCGGUGAAAUGCGUAGAUAUCAGGAGGAACACCGGUGGCGAAGGCGGCUACCUGGACAGAAACUGACGCUGAGGCACGAAAGCUAGGGGAGCAAACAGG